rnacentral:rRNA from 1 species
CUCCAGACUCCUACGGGAGGCAGCAGUGGGGAAUAUUGCGCAAUGGGGGAAACCCUGAUGCAGCGACGCCGCGUGAGCGAUGAAGUAUUUCGGUAUGUAAAGCUCUAUCAGCAGGGAAGAAGAUGACGGUACCUGACUAAGAAGCCCCGGCUAACUACGUGCCAGCAGCCGCGGUAAUACGUAGGGGGCAAGCGUUAUCCGGAUUUACUGGGUGUAAAGGGAGCGUAGACGGCGAUGCAAGCCAGAUGUGAAAGCCCGGGGCUCAACCCCGGGACUGCAUUUGGAACUGUGUGGCUGGAGUGUCGGAGAGGCAGGCGGAAUUCCUAGUGUAGCGGUGAAAUGCGUAGAUAUUAGGAGGAACACCAGUGGCGAAGGCGGCCUGCUGGACGAUGACUGACGUUGAGGCUCGAAAGCGUGGGGAGCAAACAGGAUUAGAUACCCGCGUAU